AAGUCGUAACAAGGUUUCCGUAGGUGAACCUGCGGAAGGAUCAUUAACACGUAUCCAAACGUUAAAACCCCCCCCGUGAACCUUCAUCCUGCUCUUGUAACCCGCGUAGUUCGCAAUCUCUGAUAAAUCAUAGCCCGGAAAGUUGUAGUGAUUCAGAGACCUCUGGCUACGUGCGAACAUUGGAACAGUUACAAUCGAGCGGUAGUUCUAUAGGCAAUGUUUCCCCAAGCGGUCUACAGGAAUCGUAUAUCCUUGCACAAUCAAUGACACCGUACACUCGGGCAGGAGCUUUGCCAAAGGGUCCCCAUGCCCCCUAAUAACCCCACAGUUUAAUGUGAAGCUCAAUGUAAUACAUUGGGUAAAAAAACCGAACAACUGUUAACAAUGGAUAUCUUGGUUCUC
rnacentral:misc_RNA from 1 species